CACAUUAUUUUGUUAUGGAAGCCCAAGUUGACUAACACAGGUAAAAACAAAAUGUUUCUUCUCUCAUACAGAUUUAUGGGAUUCACAUCUCUUCAAUAUCCAUUUCUCUCAAUACCACCAGAAGAACUCAUGGGAAACAUCUUUAAUUCAACAAUGUGUUCUCUCACUUUGAGAAAUAAUGAAUGAAAAUGUGUAAGGAAAGAUAGUCCAGGAAAUGGGAGCAAGAUAAUUAAGGAUACAUCCAUGUGUCUCAUGUGUCAUGCUUGAGACGUAAGUUGUGCAUAGAUUAUGGGGAUACAAUAUACAUGGAUGCUAUGUUAAAAUGUAAUAGUUUUGUGAGCCAUACCAGAGGUUGGCCUGGGAAUUGGAAAAUAUGAAUACUUCUGCAUGGUAGCAAACAGUCUAUUUAAAUGAAAGCAUACAAAACAAAACAAACAUUUAUUGAGAUGAUUGGAUAACAGUUUUUAUGAAUGAGAUCACGGUCUUAGCUCGAUGCUGUGGUUAGUAGGACCAGGUUACAAAUAAGCCCUUCCACUCACUUUGUUUGAAUUGGGAUUCAUUUCCCAAUUUGCUCCAAUACCUGGGCUUCCUAACUAGUCACUGUUAGAAAUUCUGCAGCAUAACCCUAGAAACAACAUCAGUGACAUUAUUUAUAUCCCAGAGAAAGAGUCUUUAAAUAAUGCACACAAUCCUUUGACCUGCCCUCCAUUUCCUUUUUUCUCUCUUUUUAAAACCAUUAUAUUAUUUCAGCUCUACCAAAUUUCCUGGGAAAUGAAAAGUCAAUGAAGUUUUUCAUCUGACCGGAUAACAUUUUGAACCAUUAGGCAACAAACUGAAGUUGGUUUCCAAGUAUUCACUAUUUCUUGUUGUCAUUAAUACUUUCCUAUUGAUAAUAAUAGCAUUUGUCACAUGAAACUUAAUAUUAUUCAGUACAAUAAGGCAGAAUAAAGGAAGGAAAUUACUUUAGCUAGGGGGCCAAAAGGGCUUCCUGUGUUUCUUUGUAACCCAGAAUAAACCACAUGGCACCUAUAUUAUUGAAUCUAGAAAAAGGUGUUUUCUUUCAUUAUGUUCCCUGUAUCAUUUCAGAGCGUCACUUGUCAUGAGACUAAGAUUUGGACACAGGACAUUUUAGAAUCUUAAAGGGCAGGAAAUGAUGAAGCAAAACCUAUGAAUUCAACUGGAGAUUAACUAGUAUAACAAACAGGAGGUGAAAAAAACAAAACAAACAAACAGAAAACACCUAUAGGGUAGUGACCAACGACACACGGAUUAGAGUAGCUUCAGUCUAUAAUAGGUGCAUUAUAACUGAGUAGUAGAAUAUGCAGGGCAGGGACUUCCUUUGAAUUUAGUAACAUUCAUCUUCCAUAAAAUUCCUCUGCUUUGCAACAUGUAACAGGUAGGUUGAUCUCUCCUCUCUAGAGAGUUCUAGAAAGUAGUUCAGGUUCUAGCGAAAAGACAGGUUCCUCUUCCAGCAUGGAAAUAAGAGGGUAUUCAGGAGACACAGGCAGAAACUUAGUAGAAAGCACUAGACAAAUACAGCUGGAUUGAGAAGAGUAUAGCAUCCUGGUAGAUGCAUAGACUCCCAGGUCCUAAAUUUAAAUCCGCAAGACACAUUUUCAGUAUCUUCUAACGGUAAGUUUCAGUGUCUCUAAAAUGUUGACAACCAGCUGCAGUGUCUCUAAAAUGUUGACAACUGUAAGAAUCCCAUUUAAAACCUGUUAAUGUAAGAAGUCUCUUUCAGCAAUUCUAGAAUUAACCUGAGAUUCUUCAUUUCAAACAGGUUCCCUGGUGAUGAUGAAUCCACAGAAUACACCUUGAGAAGCAAGGUUUUAGAGGAUAAUUAGAACUUUCUUCUCUGACAUUCUACCAACACUAUCUUCAUGAUGCCACCAAUGCACACUUUUGCACCUCCCUGCUUUGUAAGUGCACCUGAGGAUUAACGUACAUUCAGGACCUUACCUUCUGUGGAACAUACUUGCUAUAAUGUCUAAACUACAUCAACUUGUGAUACGACUCAAUAUAUUCAACCUGCUCCUGCUCAAGUUGGUUGUAUGUGCAGCAAUAAGAAGAAAAUGAUGUUGCCAACAGGCAUUAAAUUGCUUAUAAAUACCAUCAGGAUUCAGUCAAUAGAAUACACAAUUUUAUUAAUGUCUUUUAUCUGUGAUCUUCCAAUAAAUUACAAAAGUCAGCUACCUGACAUUGUAUGGUAUGACGAAUGCAUGGAUAACCCUAAUAUGGCCUUUCUGUAACCACAGCUGUUGCUUUGUAAUUUUGUAGUCCCCUCUCACUCUGACUCAACCAUAUGACUUGCUUUGGCCAAUAGGAUGUUAACUGACGUGACAAGCAACAGAGGCUUGAAAAAUCUUUUGCACAUUUAUACUUCUAUUUCUUACUCCUCUGCAAUCACUAUUAGAAAAAGUUUAAGCUAGGCUGAGAACAAGACUGAGCUAGCCUGCUGGAUGAUGAAAAAACAUAUGGAACACAGGCAAAUUUUCUAGGCCAAAGACUCAGAUGUGUACGAAAACACAGGCAAAAUCAGCAACACUAUUUAGUGAAUCACCUAGCAGAUUGUUGAGGUCAGCUGAGCUGGUCCCUAAGAUGAUGAGAAAUAAUAAAGACCUGUUCAUUUAAGACACUAGUUUUUUUUGGAGAGUUAGUAGUAAUAGCUAAAUGAUACACAUGGAAGGUUAUUGUAUUAAGAGUACUUAAAGUACACCAGGCCUGGCAUGGUGGCUCA